rnacentral:rRNA from 1 species
GUCCACGCCGUAAACGUUGGGAACUAGAUGUAGGGACCAUUCCACGGUUUCUGUGUCGCAGCUAACGCAUUAAGUUCCCCGCCUGGGGAGUACGGUCGCAAGACUAAAACUCAAAGGAAUUGACGGGGGCCCGCACAAGCGGCGGAGCAUGCGGAUUAAUUCGAUGCAACGCGAAGAACCUUACCAAGGCUUGACAUAUAGAGGAAACGUGCAGAAAUGUACGCCCCGCAAGGUCUCUAUACAGGUGGUGCAUGGUUGUCGUCAGCUCGUGUCGUGAGAUGUUGGGUUAAGUCCCGCAACGAGCGCAACCCUCGUCCUAUGUUGCCAGCACGUAAUGGUGGGAACUCAUGGGAGACUGCCGGGGUCAACUCGGAGGAAGGUGGGGAUGACGUCAAAUCAUCAUGCCCCUUAUGUCUUGGGCUUCACGCAUGCUACAAUGGCCGGUACAAAGGGCUGCGAUACCGUAAGGUGGAGCGAAUCCCAAAAAGCCGGUCUCAGUUCGGAUUGAGGUCUGCAACUCGACCUCAUGAAGUUGGAGUCGCUAGUAAUCGUGGAUCAGCAACGCCACGGUGAAUACGUUCCCGGGCCUUGUACACACCGCCCGUCAAGUCAUGAAAGUCGGUAACACCCGAAGCCAGUGGCCCAACCGCAAGGAGGGAGCUGUCGAAGGUGGGAUCGGUGAUUAGGACUAAGUCGUAACAAGGUAGCCGUAAAGGG